AUGGAACUGCAAGGCCUGCAAGAGGCGCUGAAAGUAGAGAUCCAAUGUCAUCAGAAUCAGACGUUGUGCAAAGGCCUCAAUGAACUUCAGAACGGACAGGAGUCCAUCUGCUGGCCUCCAGCUCGCCCCUCCUCCCUCGCCUCAGACAACCAACACCCUCUAGCCUCACCCCUCCUCCUCCUCCUCUUUGCUGGGAAAGCCAGCUGUCCUCCCCUUACUCUAUUGCUCCAUCACUGAUGAGCUGAAGAGGCUGCUCAGAAAACUUGGCCUGAGCACAUUCUUACGGUUACGAUAAUUUCAUUUAAAAAGCUUCAGCUGAAAUAAAUGAAUGUGAUUAGUCUGGUCCACACAGGCCGACUUUCAUCCACAGUCUCAGCACGUAGAUGGCAUUUAUAGUCAGGAAAGGAAAACCAACACAUGCAAAAUCAUAUUAAACAAACAUUAAUAUAAAUACUAUCAAUAAAAACUCAUACACAAGAGCACAUGAAUGCGAUUAAGAAAAGCAGACUUACAGUGACACUGCUGGACUGUUUUACAGGUUUGGACUUGGAAUAUUUCAGCAGUUUUCUAAAAGUUAUUUUAACACUUCUGCUGGAAGACGCACAGGUAGAUGUGGAUAUGCUUUGACUUUGUUUACUUUAAUAAGCUCAUUCAGAAGAGGAGACCAGCCGGGCUGUAAAAAAGUUUGUACACAAAUAAAAUCUCUGCAUAUUUAAUCAUGUUUUCCAAGUUUAAGAAACUCUGGUUCCACUGAUGAUGAAUUUCUGAGGUUUUCAGCACCUGCUUACAGUCUUGGUGUUGAUUUCUGUAAAAAUAUCCCUAAACUUAACUCUGUUCACAACUCUUGUGAUUUUUCAUGUAUGAACCGCUGACGGUCAUCUCCUGCUAAUGUCAACUUAUGCUAUUCCAACAUGAGUAUUAACUAUUAGUGAAGCAGUGUCCUGUUGAAUGCAUCUUUCUCUAGCAGACAUGCCUGUUAUUAAACUUUGAUAACUUCACUGACUGACUGUAUCAGAGCUGAACUGCUGCUUGUCAGUUUAUUAUGUAGGAUCCCAGAUGACACAUUUUUGCUGCUGUUUCAUAAAAAUAGUCCAGCAACUUUUAAUUGAUGAGACAAGUAAUAAACAAAUACAUGUUGAUUGACCAGUGAAUCAUCCUCAGCUUUAGCGAAACCAGAUUUGGCCUUUCGCACUAAUCUGUGACAUUUUAAGAUCAGUCGAUAUAUAGAUGACCUGACAAGUGACCGUAAACUGAUCGAUAAUGAAAACAGUUGUGAAUGCUGUCCUGUUGCUGAAGCAUUGCGUUUAUUCACGGUGAUGUUCAGAGCUGUUUCACUGAUAGAUGAAAACAUUAGUCGACUAUAAAUACCUUCAGCUUAACAUUGUGAAGUGUGCAGAUCAAUAAUUCAAAAUGACAACUGUGAGUAUUGAUCAGAGGGAGCUGUGUGGACAGGGAGCUGCAGAAAGUGAAAGAAUCGAUGAAAGUGCUGAAAAACAAAA
rnacentral:lncRNA from 1 species